GUCCAGGCGCUGGAGAGCCGCCGGUGAGCCACACGCACGAAUCCCUGCCCUCGUGGAGUUUAUACUACGGUGGGGAGACAGACACUCAAUAAAUAAGGCAAAUAUAUGAUGUGUGAGGUAGUGAAAAACUCUAACGAGAGAAAAAUAAGCAGGAAAGGGGCUCAAGGAGCCAGCGGAGAGAAAGGACAAUUUAAAACAGGUAAGAGGCCGGGCGCCAUGUCUCACGCCUGUAAUCCAAACACUUUAGGAGGCGGAAGCGGGAGGACCGCUUGAACCCAGGAGUUGGAGACCACCCUGGGUAACAUAGCAAGAACCUAUCUCUACAAAAAAAUUUUUUUUUAGUUUAGGCAGGGCGCGGUGGCUCACGCCUGUAAUCCCAGCACACUGAGAGGCCAAGGCAGGCAGAUCAGCUGAGGUCAGGAGUUCGAGAACAGCAUGGCCAAUAUGAGGAAACCCCGUCUCUACUAAAAUACAAAAUUAGCCGGGCAUGGUGGCGUAUACCUGUAAUCUCAGCUACUCGGGAGGCUGAGGCAGGAGAAUCGCUUGAAUCAAGGAGGCGGAGGUUGCAGUGAGCCGAGACUGCGCCACUGCACUCCAGCCUGGGCAAGAAGAACAAAGCUCCGUCGCAAAAAAAAAAAAAAAAAAUUAGCCAGGCGUGUUGGCACGUGCCUGUGGUCCCAGCUACUCAAGAGGCUGAGGCAGGAGGAUCCCUUGAGCCCAGAAGUUCAAAGCUGCAGUGAGCUGUUACCUGGCCACUGCACUCCAGCCUGGGCAACAAAGCAAGACUCGGUCUCAAAAUAAAUAAGUAAAUAAAUAAAUAAAACAGGGAGUAAGGGGGCCUCCCUUGGGAGAGUGACAUUUGUCCAUCACUCUCAUUUUAACUCACACUUAACCCCUUUCAGCCCUCCCAGGACUCCCAGGGGACCAACCUUGCUCCCAGAAGUCCUGCCUUGCCACUCCUCAUCUGUUUAGCCUACAAGACCCAAGAAAUUGGCUCUGGACAGUGCUGUCAUCCAUGUAUUCACUCAUUCAACAUUUACUGAGCACCUACUACGUGCCACCGUGGGGUGAAUUCACCCCUUCAAGCAGGGGAAGUCAGAGGUGGCCAGGGAGAUGGACAACCCCUGAUAUAUUUCAAGUAUGUCACUGCACCCUGUGAAAAUCACCUCUCUUCCCUUCCUAGCCUGCAUCACAUUCUAAUAUUGCAUUUAUUCGUUUUAUAUAUCUGUGGGUUCCUGGAGGUCUCUCUCAGGAGACUGUGAGCUCCCUGAGGGCAGGGGCAGUGGCUGCCUUAUUCAGCUGCCCGCAUGUUGGGAAGGAUCUUACUGGGGACCUGGCAGGCAGGCAGCAGGUGCCCAGCAGACUCUUGGCUUAGGUAAUCAAGGGCGGAAAUGGGACACAAAGUUCCCAUCCCUGUCGCAAGGUGGCAGCAAAUGAUAGCCCAUGGCUCCUGGAGUAACACAAGGGUGAGUAGGUGGGGGACAUGGGAUCCAGGGAUGACUGUCCUAACCCGGGCUCAUCCAGGAAAUGCCCAGCUCUGCCCAGGCAUCGCCACAGAGCAAAGUGAACGUUAACACCGUUAGCUGCUGUUACCACCACGAAAGGCGUUAAGUCCGCCUCUCCUGCUGCCCAACAUUGAGGGAGGACAAUGACUGCGUGGGAGACAGAGGUGUGACAGCCCUGCGGGUACAGAGAGCUCAAAGUGGAAACUGGGGCC
rnacentral:lncRNA from 1 species